rnacentral:rRNA from 1 species
UAAGCAUAUCAAUAAGCGGAGGAAAAGAAACCAACAGGGAUUGCCUCAGUAACGGCGAGUGAAGCGGCAAGAGCUCAAAUUUGAAAGCUGGCCCCCUCGGGGUCCGCGUUGUAAUUUGCAGAGGAUGCUUCGGGUGCAGCCCCCGUCUAAGUGCCCUGGAACGGGCCGUCAUAGAGGGUGAGAAUCCCGUCUGGGACGGGGUGUCUGCGUCCGUGUGAAGCUCCUUCGACGAGUCGAGUUGUUUGGGAAUGCAGCUCUAAAUGGGUGGUAAAUUUCAUCUAAAGCUAAAUACUGGCCGGAGACCGAUAGCGCACAAGUAGAGUGAUCGAAAGAUGAAAAGCACUUUGAAAAGAGAGUUAAACAGCACGUGAAAUUGUUGAAAGGGAAGCGUUUGCGACCAGACUCGCCCGCGGGGUUCAGCCGGCAUUCGUGCCGGUGUACUUCCCCGUGGGCGGGCCAGCGUCGGUUUGGGCGGUCGGUCAAAGGCCCUCGGAAUGUAUCACCUCUCGGGGUGUCUUAUAGCCGAGGGUGCAAUGCGGCCUGCCCGGACCGAGGAACGCGCUUCGGCUCGGACGCUGGCGUAAUGGUCGUAAAUGACCCGUCUUGAAACACGGACCAAGGAGUCUAACAUCUACGCGAGUGUUCGGGUGUCAAACCCGUACGCGCAGUGAAAGCGAACGGAGGUGGGAGCCCCCUCGUGGGGCGCACCAUCGACCGAUCCUGAUGUCUUCGGAUGGAUUUGAGUACGAGCGUAGCUGUGGGGACCCGAAAGAUGGUGAACUAUGCCUGAAUAGGGCGAAGCCAGAGGAAACUCUGGUGGAGGCUCGCAGCGGUUCUGACGUGCAAAUCGAUCGUCAAAUUUGGGUAUAGGGGCGAAAGACUAAUCGAACCAUCUAGUAGCUGGUUCCUGCCGAAGU